UCCGCAGGCGGCUUAUCAAGUCUGCUGUUAAAGGUCGGGGCUUAACUCCGGUUCGGCAGUGGAAACUGAUAGGCUAGAGUACGGUAGGGGUAGAGGGAAUUCCCAGUGUAGCGGUGAAAUGCGUAGAUAUUGGGAAGAACACCAGUGGCGAAGGCGCUCUACUGGGCCGUAACUGACGCUGAGGGACGAAAGCUAGGGGAGCGAAAG
rnacentral:rRNA from 1 species